CCUACGGGAGGCAGCAGUGGGGGAUAUUGGACAAUGGGGGGAACCCUGAUCCAGCGACGCCGCGUGCGUGAAGAAGUAUUUCGGUAUGUAAAGCUCUGUCAGCAGGGAAGAAAGAAAUGACGGUACCUGACCAAGAAGCCCCGGCUAACUACGUGCCAGCAGCCGCGGUAAUACGUAGGGGGCAAGCGUUAUCCGGAAUUACUGGGUGUAAAGGGUGCGUAGACGGUUAAGUAAGUCUGGAGUGAAAGGCCGGGGCUCAACCCCGGGACUGCUCUGGAAACUAUUUACCUUGAGUGCAGGAGAGGUAAGCGGAAUUCCUGGUGUAGCGGUGAAAUGCGUAGAUAUUAGGAGGAACACCAGUGGCGAAGGCGGCUUACUGGACUGUAACUGACGUUGAGGCUCGAAAGCGUGGGGAGCAAACAGGAUUAGAUACCCGGGUAGUC
rnacentral:rRNA from 1 species